rnacentral:rRNA from 1 species
AAUAUGUUUCAUUUUAUUCAUAUCUGCACCAGAUCCCAUCUGAUCUUAGAAACAAAGCAGGAGUGGCCCUGGUUAGUACUUGGGUGGGAAACCAUCAAUGAAUACCAGAUGUUGUUAUAU